rnacentral:rRNA from 1 species
GUGUCAGCAGCCGCGGUAAUACGAAGGGUGCAAGCGUUAUUCGGAUUGAUUGGGCGUAAAGGGUGCGCAGGCGGUGCGCUAAGUCAACUGUUAAAUUUCCCAGCCUAACUGGGAGCAAGCGGUAGAUACUGGCGUGCUUGAGGAUGGAAGAGAGAAGUGGAAUUCUCGGAGUAGCGGUAAAAUGCGUAGAUCUCGAGAGGAACACCGAUGGCGAAGGCAGCUUCUUGGUCCAUUCCUGACGCUCAUGCACGAAAGCGUGGGGAGCAAACAGGAUUAGAUACCCGAGUAGUCC